AUUUUUUCUAACUUUAUUCAAACUUUUUAGAGUUGAAAACAGUUUAGAAGUAUUUAAAUUUCAUGGAUAAAAAGUGGGUUUUUAUCGAAAUUAUUUUGUCGAUAGGCGGGAUGCAAAAUGCACGACAAACGUCAUCAUCGGAAAAAUCAUCGGCUUAUUGCUUAUUGGCUGUUGAAAAAUCGGCAAAUUCCGAAGAAAAAUCAUUGACAGAGGUGACAGGGGGGAGCGGGAAAAUUUAAAUUCAGAAAGCUUUCCAGUCAACUUUUUGUCUAUAUAGACACAGAGGGCAGCAUUGAAAAGCACAUAUCCGAGCGCGAGUUGCGAAUUUAAAAUAGAAAAACAUAAGAACACAAUAAUGUAAAAUAAAAAGAAAGAACACACCGCUCUGGUAAGUAAAAAUUUAAUACUUAUACCAUGAAAAAAUAUCAGUUCAAUCUUCGUAAAACAAGCGAG